rnacentral:rRNA from 1 species
UUCCAGACUCCUACGGGAGGCAGCAGUGGGGAAUAUUGCACAAUGGGGGAAACCCUGAUGCAGCGACGCCGCGUGAGCGAUGAAGUAUUUCGGUAUGUAAAGCUCUCUCAGCAGGGAAGAAGAUGACGGUACCUGACUAAGAAGCCCCGGCUAACUACGUGCCAGCAGCCGCAGUAAUACGUAGGGGGCAAGCGUUAUCCGGAUUUACUGGGUGUAAAGGGAGCGUAGACGGCGAUGCAAGCCAGAUGUGAAAGCCCGGGGCUCAACCCCGGGACUGCAUUUGGAACUGUGUGGCUGGAGUGUCGGAGAGGCAGGCGGAAUUCCUAGUGUAGCGGUGAAAUGCGUAGAUAUUAGGAGGAACACCAGUGGCGAAGGCGGCUUACUGGACUGUAACUGACGUUGAGGCUCGAAAGCGUGGGGAGCAAACAGGAUUAGAUACCCUCGUAUA